rnacentral:rRNA from 1 species
GACGAACGCUGGCGGCGUGCUUAACACAUGCAAGUCGAACGGAAAGUCCCUGCUUGCAGGGUACUCGAUUGGCGAACGGGUGAGUAACACGUUUGUGAUCUGCCCUGCACUUCGGGAUAAGCCUGGGAAACUGGUUCUAAUACCGGAUAGGAGCCAUUUUUAGUUUGAUUGUUGGAAAGUUUUUUCGGUGUAGGAUGAGCUCGCGGCCUAUCAGCUUGUUGGUUGGGUAAUGGCCUACCAAGGCGGCUACGGGUAGCCGGCCUGAGAGGGUGGACGGCCACAUUGGGAAUGAGAUACGGCACAGACUCCUACGGGAGGCAGCAGGGGGGAAUAUUGAACAGUGGGCGCAAGCCUGAUGCAGCGACGACGAGUGGGGGAUGACGGACUUAGGGUUGUAAACUGCUUUCGCUAGGGACGAAGCUUUUUGUGAAGAUACCUAGAUAAGAAGCACCGGCUAAAUACGUG